GUGCCUGUGGCGAAACUGGACAUCGCGUCUGGCUACGGACCAGAAGAUUGGGGGUUCGAGUCCCUCCAGGCACGCCA
rnacentral:tRNA from 1 species